GCGCUCGACUCCUGCGUGAGCGGAACUGAGCCCACCCGGCGAGCCCGCGGAGCCGGCGCGGCUGCUGCCAGGGCUACCGCCGCCGUGGAGUCAUGUGAUAAUCCGGCUGCAAGGGCUCCAGCGACUGCUGGGGCCGUAGCUCGGCCCCUCCCCUGCCGGCGGAGCGAGGCUCACAGCCGGACGGUGACCUCCUCGGUGAGGGGGAGCCAGGCCGGGUCGGUACCUGACGGAGGAGAUGGGGGGCGCUGUGAGCUAGUGGCGGUGCAGGUGUUGGCGGCGGUCACGUGGAGCCGGGCCGCCGGGAAAAGCCAGUUGAGGAAUCCACUCGCGGAGGAAUGCUGCCUACGCCUUCGGGAAAGGAAACUUCGAGAGCUGGAGGGUACUACCACACGCAUUAUUAUCUGCGGAGUAAAACUUACUUCGAACCCCAGAAUAAAAGCUUAAUCGCGAAGAAAACAGAAGAGCUCUAAGGAAUUGAAAGAGGUAAUCAAGAGGACGUGACUGCCGUGUGACCCAUGAGCUGGACCCAGGCAUCGAGGGCUCGUCACCGCCUCCUUUGUCCUUGGAAUGUACCUUCUGUCCACCGUGCCCAUAGCAGGAGACAUUUUCAAGGAUGCAGCCUUUAGAAAGCAAUGUGUUGUUGAGGCCACCUGGACUGAAUACGUGUCUG